rnacentral:rRNA from 1 species
AAUCAACGCUGGCGGCGUGCCUCAGACAUGCAAGUCGAACGAUUAAAGCUCUCUUCGGAGAGUGUAUAGAGUGGCGCACGGGUGAGUAACACGUAAGUAAUCUACCUCUGAGUGGGGAAUAACGUCCGGAAACGGACGCUAAUACCGCAUAAUGCAGCGGCACCGCAAGGUGACAGUUGUUAAAGAUUUAUCGCUUAGAGAGGAGCUUGCGGCAGAUUAGCUAGUUGGUAAGGUAAUGGCUUACCAAGGCUACGAUCUGUAACCGGUCUUAGAGGACGGUCGGUCACACUGACACUGAAUAACGGGUCAGACUCCUACGGGAGGCAGCAGUCGGGAAUUUUGGGCAGUGGGCGAAAGCCUGACCCAGCAACGCCGCGUGAAGGAUGAAGUAUUUCGGUAUGUAAACUUCGAAAGAAUGGGAAGAAUCAAUGACGGUACCAUUUAUAAGGUCCGGCUAACUACGUGCCAGCAGCCGCGGUAAAAC